CGAGUCCUGAACAUGUGACACCAGCAGCAGCAGGAGCACGUAGAAGGUCUGGUUGAUUAAGGAGUGAAGAACAGAAGUUAGGCCCUUUCUGCCCUCCUCCCCCUUAGGGCCUCUCAAGUUUUUGACUGCGUAGACAGAGCUAACUUGUACCUACUUUUAUCAUCUCCCUCUGCCCACCACUCCCAGACAGACUGGAAAGUUCUGGACAGAAGCCUACACUUUCGGCGAGCUAGUGGUCAAAACAUCCAGAAAACUUCAAAGUGCUGAAUGCUCAGGCAGAGGAGGGGCGCUUAUGACUAAGAAUCCAGUGCUGUAUUAUAUAGAUUGUAGAGCAGCAGGACCAAUUAAAUGCUUGCCCUACCAGUCUCUAAUGCUAGGACAGCGAUACUUGUGGGAGAAAGAGUGAGACCCUGAGUUUGGGACAAGGAAACAGGUGAGGCUGAGAACUUUGAACUCCCCAAUUCCGCCAGACCUCCCUUUCCACUGGAGGAAAUCCCUCUUCCCACCUGAGAGGAAAAAGUCUUC
rnacentral:lncRNA from 1 species